GAUGAACGCUGGCGGCGUGCCUAAUACAUGCAAGUCGAGCGAACGGACGAGAAGCUUGCUUCUCUGAUGUUAGCGGCGGACGGGUGAGUAACACGUGGAUAACCUACCUAUAAGACUGGGAUAACUUCGGGAAACCGGAGCUAAUACCGGAUAAUAUUUUGAACCGCAUGGUUCAAAAGUGAAAGACGGUCUUGCUGUCACUUAUAGAUGGAUCCGCGCUGCAUUAGCUAGUUGGUAAGGUAACGGCUUACCAAGGCAACGAUGCAUAGCCGACCUGAGAGGGGGAACAGCCACACUGGAACUGAGACACGGUCCAGACUCCUACGGGAGGCAGCAGUAGGGAAUCUUCCGCAAUGGGCGAAAGCCUGACGGAGCAACGCCGCGUGAGUGAUGAAGGUCUUCGGAUCGUAAAACUCUGUUAUUAGGGAAGAACAUAUGUGUAAGUAACUGUGCACAUCUUGACGGUACCUAAUCAGAAAGCCACGGCUAACUACGUG
rnacentral:rRNA from 1 species